AGAUCGAGAAAAAUUUGUCCUCUCUUUUUCAUGGAGCUCUGAGGCGAAAAUGGUUGAAAUUAAACGAUCGAGACGAUGAUUCUAUACCAGGUGAAACCCCAAUCUUCAAGUUUUCUUCGCCAAUUUCAGUUCGGUCUCUGUUAACCAGAGUUACUUAAUUGGUAACCCUAAUUUGCUUUCCUAGAGGGAUUUUAUUUUAAAAUUAGUGUUUCAAUUGAGUACCUUUAACCAAAAGAGAUUGAACUGAGAAAAAACAUCGAAUUGCAGAAUUCGACUGCUUCAACAGACACCAACAAUUUUGGAGAGGAACCUCCGGCUCCAUUUAUAGGAGUGGGAUUGUAGUUAAAGUCGAAGGGAAGAUGUGUAGAUAGAUAUAUACAAGAAGAGUCAUAUCUUCCGAGAGAGAUACGUUGUACAUGCAUGUAAAGGUACACUACUUUUGUUUACCUUCCAUAAACAUCAAAAUCUAUGUUAUCUGUUUGAAGUUCUCUUGAUAGAUUUAGUUAGCACUACAAGAAAGUUGCUCUACUGCAGCACCCUCUUCAUGUGUCAAGAACACACUAUUUAUGUGGCAAAAGCUUUUUGCAACAUAAAAACCUUUUGCCACACCGUGUGCCAAUAAUCUAUGUGACAAGAAGUUAAUGCCACACCUACGAUACACUGCGGCAAAAGCUGAGUUUUAUGCCACACCAAAUGGUGAGGCAGUAACUCGAGGAAAAAAAGUAUUUUCUAAUUUAAUUAUUCCAAUAUUUUUAUUUUAUUUUAUUUUAAAAAUCUAUUGCCACACCAACCUGUGAGGCAAUAGACCAAGGCAAAAAUGUGAUUAUUUUAUUUUAUUAUAUUUGAUAUUUUAUUUUA